GGCUUAGAGUUUGAUCCUGGCUCAGAUUGAACGCUGGCGGAAUGCUUUACACAUGCAAGUCGAACGGCAGCACGGGGGCAACCCUGGUGGCGAGUGGCGAACGGGUGAGUAAUACAUCGGAACGUGCCCAGUCGUGGGGGAUAACUACGCGAAAGCGUAGCUAAUACCGCAUACGAUCUACGGAUGAAAGCGGGGGAUCGCAAGACCUCGCGCGAUUGGAGCGGCCGAUGGCAGAUUAGGUAGUUGGUGGGGUAAAGGCUCCCCAAGCCUGCGAUCUGUAGCUGGUCUGAGAGGACGACCAGCCACACUGGGACUGAGACACGGCCCAGACUCCUACGGGAGGCAGCAAGUGGGGAAUUUUGGACAAUGGGCGCAAGCCUGAUCCAGCCAUUCCGCGUGCAGGAUG
rnacentral:rRNA from 1 species